CACGUUUAAGGUGCCAUGAGAGGCACCUCUCCGAGACGACCUCAACGGUACCACCGAUGUGUUGGUCGGGCUCCUGUGCGGCCGUCCAGGGCGGGAUAUGUAGAGAAUGUGGUGGUGUAGGGUAGGUGGCCAGGUCCAGGGUAGGUUCUCCAAAUCCGUCAAUCCGGCUUGAAUCGGAGGACAGGUCUAGGGUAGGCCAGAGUCGGGUCUAGGGUAGGCAGCUCUAACCCUCGAAGUGGUCUACCCGGUAGUCAACUUCAAUCGCCUCUCACGGCCGCCACGGACCUCGCAUGACGACGGGACCACCACCAUCGGAUUUGCCUUGGUCGAAAUAGUUGGUAUAUGCACUUUUGAAAAAAUGCGUGCAAAAUGGUUUUGUGGUUUGGUGGCCGUGAGUCGAUUUUUUUGUUUUCCCAUACAAAUGAAUUUUGCGGAAAAUAAAAAGUGGCUCACGAGGCAGUCCUGGCGUGCGA
rnacentral:rRNA from 1 species